UCAUGUAUAUAUGGUAUCUUCAUCGCCAAAAACGAACCAGUCCGAGAGUAACUAGAUCCCCUCCAGUCCAAAAUCAGCAGAAUUUGGUGUUUUAAAAAA